GGUGGAUUUUUAGCCCUGGUGGGAAGCUUCCCGGAAACGAAAGUCUUCCGGUUCCGGGGGAAGUAUGGUUGCAAAGCUGAAACUUAAAGGAAUUGACGGAAGGGCACCACCAGGAGUGGAGCCUGCGGCUUAAUUUGACUCAACACGGGGAAACUCACCCGGCCCGGACACCGUAAGGAUUGACAGAUUGAUAGCUCUUUCAUGAUUCGGUGGUUGGUGGUGCAUGGCCGUUCUUAGUUCGUGGAUCGAUUUGUCUGGUUUAUUCCGAUAACGAGCGAGACUCUAGCCUACUAAAUAGUAACGGAAUUAUUACAGUUCCGCUUGCUUCUUAGAGGGAUUUUCGGUGUUUAGCCGCACGAGAUUGAGCAAUAACAGGUCUGUGAUGCCCUUAGAUGUCCGGGGCUGCACGCGCGCUACACUGGCGAAAUCAGCGUGCUGUAUCCAUUCUCGAAAGGGAUUGGUAAACCCAUGAAAAUUUGCCGUGCUUGGGAUCGGAAAUUGCAAUUAUUUUCCGUGAACGAGGAAUUCCAAGUAAGUGCGAGUCAUCAACUCGCUCUGAUUACGUC
rnacentral:rRNA from 1 species